rnacentral:rRNA from 1 species
AUUGAACGCUGGCGGCAUGCUUUACACAUGCCAGUCGAACGGUAACAGGCCGCAAGGUGCUGACGAAUGGCGAACGGGUGAGUAAUGCAUCGGAACGUGCCCAGUCGUGUGGGAUAACUACUCGAAAGAGUAGCUAAUACCGCAUACGAUCUAUGGAUGAAAGCGGGGGACCGUAAGGCCUCGCGCGAUUGGAGCGGCCGAUGUCAGAUUAGGUAGUUGGUGGGGUAAAGGCUCACCAAGCCAACGAUCUGUAGCUGGUCUGAGAGGACGACCAGCCACACUGGGACUGAGACACGGCCCAGACUCCUACGGGAGGCAGCAGUGGGGAAUUUUGGACAAUGGGCGCAAGCCUGAUCCAGCAAUGCCGCGUGCAGGAAGAAGGCCUUCGGGUUGUAAACUGCUUUUGUACGGAACGAAACGGCUCUGGUUAAUACCCGGGGCUAAUGACGGUACCGUAAGAAUAAGCACCGGCUAACUACGUG